AGUUAAUAGUUCUUUUAGGGAAUUUUCCAUUUACACUGGAAAGGUUCUUGUGCAAAUCAGGAUUAAUUGAU
rnacentral:tRNA from 1 species